UUCAGGCGGGUGAUGUUUAGCAUAGUUCACAUGAGCCGGACUGCGGCGCUGAUUAAUCUAGAAAUUAGUCUUUCGCUCCUAUCUGACGCCUGUC
rfam:Physcomitrella patens subsp. patens PHYPAscaffold_194 genomic scaffold, whole genome shotgun sequence.